GGGGUUGUGGCUCAGCAGUAGAGUGCUCCCCUAGCAUGGGCAAGGCCCUGGGUUCGAUCCCCAGCACCACA
rnacentral:tRNA from 1 species